ensembl:lncRNA
GGGCUCACGUGUCCCACAUCAAGGAGGCAAUUUCCUUUACAACAGCUCUGGCUGUGCGAGCCUCAAUACCAGCAGUCAUCUUAGUUUUCAGGAUCGGCGGACUACAAAGAAAGACGAAAGAGAACAACUGAACGCCAUUCCCUUCCCCCCGGCUCAGCCUGGCACAGAACUGCCCGGCUUCUCCCCGCUUGCUCUGCCGCCAGCCGAGGGGAUGCUGAGCUCAGGGGGACUCCGGUUGUGGAUGAAGCAGAAGGGAUUCGACAGAGAGAGAACUGCUCCUUUCUACCCCUCUAAAGCUCCUAAGAACGGUGCUCAGAGCCAUCCUCGGCCAUCUCGGCUGCUGUGCUGUUGGGAGGCUGUGUAGCACCCCGGGUCCCUCCUGUUUGCAGUCUGCGCCACGGAGUCAGAAAGGCUCUCCAUAACCAAAAGAGGAGGGUGGAAGAGACCACAUUCAGGCUUAAAAUCUCGUGUUCUACUCAGCUGUGACAGCACAAACCACCUUGGCAGUGUUUUUUCUCCCCUGGAUUCAAUAUUCUGGACCUGCAGCAGCUCUGCAGAGGGUCCUGGAGCGAACCGAUGGCAUUGGGAGUUUGCUCCUGGCCAGCCCAGAUUGCCUCCAUCUACCAAACCUCAUCCCAGUGGUCUCUCCUGAAGCUCAUGUUUGCCACCCAUGGAGCCACAGUAAUCAUUCGGUGCAGCCAAGAGCAUCACAGCGAUGCUGUAUCCAUCCUGAGCUGCAGCGGUGGCUGUCCUUUCCCCAGCAUCCCUGACCCAACCUGGGUCCUGAAUGCUCUUUGUGGUGAGGCCCCGGCACUGCCCAGAGUUGUGGGUGCCCCAUCCCUGGAAGUGCCUGAGGCCAUGGAUGGGUCCUGAGCAGCCUGAGCUGAAGGGCAGCCAGCCCUUGCCGACGUUGUCCCGCAUUUUCACUUCUCCAAAAAGAUUUAAUUAUGUCAACAAUGGCAUCGAUGAGUUACUGCGACAUUUUGAAGCCCAGCAAAAAUGGUGGUUAGAGCACUCCCAGUCAACACGCCUCCUACCACCGCAUUCCGAGUGCAGUAUUAAGGUUCAUGGAGUUCAGAAACAAACUGUUUAAUUGCUGGACACAGGAUAUAUUUUGAUCUCCUUC